AUGAUUUUGGGGGAAAACAACAUGUGGGGAACAUGGCCGUGGUUUGUCACCCAAUGUGCAGCUUGCGAAUGGACGCAAAAUUCUGCCAACAUUUUUGUUUGCAAACUCAAUUGUAUUACUGUACCAGCUUCUGUUUUCCUUUUACACAGGACGCGGGGAGAAAGGAGGUGUUUGGUCUCAUACCCCGAGGAAGACGGUGUAUUGGAAGCUGCUCCUCGGUGUCUCCUGAUCGUCGGCAGAAACUCAAGUUAUCCCCAAGCAUUACCUUGCUCCCGGGUCUGCCUUUCCUCUGCAGCUCUCGGCUCCUUCCUCCCGGCAGUGCACACGUGGGUGUGUGGAAGUCCCCAGAGAUCUCACGGAAACAGGCCGUUCUGCAGCUCUGCAGUGGAGCGCGACAGUGUGCACGUCCACCGCCUUCCCAGGGGCCAUAACGCAUAAAACAGAUGCAGGUGGAGCUGCUGCGGUUGGAAUGGGGGCUGGGUCCUCCCGGGAGGAACAAACGCUGGCGCUCUACAGAACUCAGUUUGUGAGCUAUCAGGUGAAUCCACAGCCCCGCCACCACACCAAGAAAUCAGAGGUGGGUGUGUCUUCCUUUAUAAAUCACGUUGGAUGUAUCUGCAGGUUAACUAGAUACCUGACUGCCUUCCAGACAGAAGGAUGACUCACACUGUCACUCCCCGUGAUUUUGAUCCUAGAACCAUUCCUGAUUUCCUAGAAACAAAGAGUCAAGGCCAGAAUUGAACCAUGGAGGCAAACAAUAUCCCAGUCCCCAGAAAGAAACACACAGUAACAGCACAAAGUUACCUAAAACAACCUGGGUCAAGCCUGCUUCUAAACGCCUGCUGCAUGCUGCUUCUCUGCGCUAUGAGGUGGCGCCUUCUGACGCGAGCCUAAGGCACAGAGAGCUUCAGUAACUUCUCCAUGGUCUCUGCUUAUUCAACGAUGAAGCGAAAGGAUCGGUCUAAUCCAGUGGCGGUGAACCCACGGCAGGUGUCCCACAGAGGACUGUUGGCAUCAUGGAAAGUUCUGAAGGAUUUGCCAUCCCUGGGUUCGUCUGCCCCGUGAUUGGGUUCGUAAGUCCUCUUUGAUGAGGAUAGCUCUAAAAGUUCCCAUCCCGAUGUUGAUGCUUUCUACUUUAGAGAGUUCUUUUUUCUCUUUGCUUCUGCUGCUUUUCCAAGAAGUUGAGAAAUCUGCGGCCCCUUCUCCUGUGGACUGACACUAUUCACCUCGCAGAAUCCAUCUGCGGACAGCAACUGUAGGUCACAGUCCAAGUCGCUCCCCAUUUUCAUCCUUGUAGAGAGUGAACUGCGAUGCGGAACUAUCUUUAGUGCUCAGAGCAGAGCUCUUGGAGGCUGCUCGUGGUAUCGGAGCUCGAGCCAAAUAAAGGUUAUUUCUGGUCCUCAGAGCCUCUGCCGUCUGUUGCCCUACAGUUUCUUCCACUUGGCUGUGCUUUCUGUGCCUGGAUGCUGUGUCCUCAUUUCAGCACUGACCUCCCCCAACUCCCCGUAAGUCAAGCGGCACCCACCGCUGAACUUGAUGUUCCCCAUCUUGGCGGUGGGACAUUUGAGUGUUCAGACAGAAGAUAGUCUCUUUCUUACAUCAAGGUUGGCUUAGCUUGGAAAAGUCAAGUAAGCAAAUUGAUUCACCUAUGCCUCUUUUUUCUUUAUAAUAGUUAAUAUUAAUAAAAU
rnacentral:lncRNA from 1 species